rnacentral:rRNA from 1 species
UACGGGGGGGGGCAAGCGUUGUUCGGAUUCAUUGGGCGUAAAGGGUGCGUAGGCGGCGCGGUAAGUCGGGUGUGAAAUCUCGGAGCUUAACUCCGAAACUGCAUUCGAUACUGCCGUGCUUGAGGACUGGAGAGGAGACUGGAAUUACGGUGUAGCGGUGAAAUGCGUAGAGAUCGUAAGGAAGACCAGUGGCGAAGGCGGCAUCCGUGGACCGGUAUUGACGCUGAGGCGCGAAAGCCAGGGGAGCAAACGGG